rnacentral:rRNA from 1 species
UACGUAGGGGGCAAGCGUUGUCCGGAAUUAUUGGGCGGAAAGAGCUCGUAGGCGGUUUGUCGCGUCUGCCGUGAAAGUCCGGGGCUCAACUCCGGAUCUGCGGUGGGUACGGGCAGACUAGAGUGAUGUAGGGGAGACUGGAAUUCCUGGUGUAGCGGUGAAAUGCGCAGAUAUCAGGAGGAACACCGAUGGCGAAGGCAGGUCUCUGGGCAUUAACUGACGCUGAGGAGCGAAAGCAUGGGGAGCGAACAGG